GACGAACGCUGGCGGCGUGCUUAACACAUGCAAGUCGAACGGUAAGGCUCCAGCUUGCUGGGGUACACGAGUGGCGAACGGGUGAGUAACACGUGGGUGACCUGCCCUGCACUUCGGGAUAAGCCUGGGAAACUGGGCCUAAUACCGGAUAGGACCAUGGUGUGGAUACUGUGGUGGAAAGUUUUUUCGGUGUGGGAUGGGCCCGCGGCCUAUCAGCUUGUUGGUGGGGUAAUGGCCUACCAAGGCGGCGACGGGUAGCCGGCCUGAGAGGGUGGACGGCCACAUUGGGACUGAGACACGGCCCAGACUCCUACGGGAGGCAGCAGUGGGGAAUAUUGCACAAUGGGCGGAAGCCUGAUGCAGCGACGCCGCGUGGGGGAUGACGGCCUUCGGGUUGUAAACUCCUUUCACCAUCGACGAAGGGUUUCUGACGGUAGAUGGAGAAGAAGCACCGGCUAACUACGUG
rnacentral:rRNA from 1 species